rnacentral:snRNA from 1 species
ACUCGUCUGCGGCGCAAUGUAUAUUAAAACUGAAGCGAUACAGAAAAGGUUCACAUGAUCUGUGCACAAGGAUGACACACACAAAAUGUAUAUUUGU